CCUACGGGAGGCAGCAGUCGGGAAUAUUGCGCAAUGGAGGAAACUCUGACGCAGUGACGCCGCGUAUAGGAAGAAGGUUUUCGGAUUGUAAACUAUCGUUGUUAGGGAAGAUAAAAGACUGUACCUAAGGAGGAAGCCCCGGCUAACUAUGUGCCAGCAGCCGCGGUAAUACAUAGGGGGCAAGGGUAUCCCGGAAUUAUUGGGGGUAACGGGGGAGUAGAGGGAAGAACAAGUUGGUUGUGAAAUCCCUCGGCUCAACUGAGGAACUGCAACCAAAACUAUUCUCCUUGAGUGUCGGAGAGGAAAGUGGAAUUCCUGGUGUAGCGGUGAAAUGCGUAGAUAUUAGGAGGAACACCAGUGGCGAAGGCGACUUUCUGGACGAUAACUGACGUUGAGGCACGAAAGUGUGGGGAGCGAACAGGAUUAGAUACCCUAGUAGUC
rnacentral:rRNA from 1 species